AUUGAAAAUGAAUUUUUUGUAUUCACCAGAUAUUCUUAUAUGAGAAGAUCUAUUUUAAACAGUCUAAAUAUUUUUUCUUCUUUUGGACCAGCAUGGCAGGAUUUAAGCGAGGGUAUGAUGGAAAGAUUGCUGGAUUAUAUGAUCUGGAUAAAACCUUGGGUCGAGGCCAUUUUGCCGUGGUUAAACUUGCCAGGCAUGUCUUUACGGGUGAAAAGGUGGCAGUAAAAGUUAUUGACAAGACAAAACUGGACACUCUAGCUACUGGUCAUCUUUUCCAGGAAGUGAGAUGCAUGAAACUAGUGCAGCAUCCUAACAUCGUCCGCCUUUAUGAAGUUAUUGACACCCAGACCAAACUAUAUCUUAUUCUAGAACUUGGGGAUGGAGGAGAUAUGUUUGAUUAUAUAAUGAAACAUGAGGAGGGUCUUAAUGAAGACUUGGCCAAGAAGUAUUUUGCUCAGAUAGUUCAUGCUAUAUCUUAUUGCCAUAAACUCCAUGUGGUUCACAGAGACUUAAAACCAGAGAAUGUAGUCUUCUUUGAAAAACAAGGUCUUGUAAAGUUGACAGACUUUGGGUUCAGCAACAAAUUUCAACCAGGGAAGAAGCUCACUACAAGCUGUGGAUCUCUUGCAUAUUCCGCUCCAGAAAUUCUGCUUGGUGAUGAGUAUGAUGCACCUGCAGUAGAUAUUUGGAGUCUGGGAGUGAUCCUUUUCAUGUUGGUGUGUGGGCAGCCGCCCUUUCAAGAAGCCAAUGACAGUGAAACACUGACAAUGAUCAUGGAUUGCAAAUAUACAGUACCAUCCCAUGUGUCUAAAGAGUGUAAAGAGUAAGUAAAACAAAGUAUGUGGAAACCUUAAGGACUCAGAUUAAAACCAGAAGUUUUAAUUCCAUUAAUAUGUCAAGAAAAUUUGAGAGGACUUCAAACAUCCAAGCAUCUGGGUUGAUUUUAAUUUUUGAAUUUAAUAUUUCUGCUGUUGUUUCAGAGUGUUCGGUCGGCGGGGGUGGGAGUGCUUAGCCCCUGAAUAUGAUCUGAAAUUUAAUAUUAGAGUACAAAAUGUAUUCAUCUAUUUCUUAUUCAAGAAAUCUAUUACAUGCCUCUUCAACCUUCAGGAGUGGUGGUUAUUUCACUUGAACUGAAGAAAUACCAUGGGAACUACCUUUCUCUGCAUGAGCAAAAAGCAAGAUCACCUGGAAUUGUUUUAAGUUCCAGAGAAGAGUUAGGGCAUUUUCUUUCCUGAAUAGACCAUCAACACACUAUUUUAGGGUUUACAUAGUAUGUCUCAUAAUUUUCUUCACACACCUUCCGCUAAUUGACUAAAGAGCUGUUUAGGUUUAUGUGACUAUGGGAAGCCAGCAUAAAAAGUAUACUCAAUUAUUUGGAAUUUAAAGUAGUACAUAGUACUAUGAUAUGUGUAGUGAGAAAUACAGUAAUGGAAUAGAACUGUUGGAAGUUCAGUAUUGACAUUUUAAGUGACAUUUUUUAAUGAGCUCAGCUGAGAUUAUAGCCACUACUUACAGGACUUUGCUGUAGAAACAGAGUUUUGAGUUUCUCCUAUCAGCUGGUAAGAAGGAAAUCUGAUUGCCCAAGGACUUUUUUUCUCUAAAUGAAGCCCCAUCUCAGGUGGAUGUUUAAGAACUUAGGUAUUCAAGGCCGAGGCAGGCAGAUCACAAGGUCAGGAGAUCGAGACCAUCCUGACUAACAUGGUGAAACCCCAUCUCUACUAAAAAUACAGAAAAUUAGCUGGGCGCCUGUAGUUCCAGCUACUCAGGAGGCUGAGGCAGGAGAAUGGCGUGAACCCUGGAGGUGGAGCUUGCAGUGAGCCGAGAUCGCGCCACUGCACUCCAGCCUGGGCGACAGAGCGAGACCUUGUCUCAAAAAAAAAAAAAAAGAA
rnacentral:sRNA from 1 species